AUUGAUUUUUUCAGCUACAUUUUUCCCUGCAAUUUACGGUUAGAGGAAAGCGAAAGUAUGUGGUUUCAAGAACGAUUAAACAAUACAUACAUAGAAGGAUGGUGUUUGAGCAGCCGGGGUUGCUGCUAGAUAGAUAGAUAAGGAGCGAGGGCAGCCUAGAUCCUGCAACUGCAGGAACGAAGAAAGUGGGACGGUGGCUAUAAUUUUGGGAUUUGACGACUAAAUAUCGGGCUGGGAAGCCCGACAAUAUUGCAAAAAAAUUCAUUCAAGAGUAUGGAUUAUCGCUUAAUGAAACAGGAAACACUUUACAAUCCACCCUUUAUUACUAUGUAAAUUUGACAUACACAUUUACAUAUGUAUCUCUUAUUUACAGAGAUAUUCGUGAAAAUAGUCUAACUAUUAAAACUAAACGGCUGUCUAUGAAAUUCAGAUCUGGAUUUUUUCCUGCUUUAUGGGCAGUUUCGGCCCUUCCAUCCAUCUAUAACCAGACGUGGAUUGUUAAUGGACGAGCUUUUUGGGACAACAUUUUUCGUUAUAAAUUAAUUUGAUUACCAUAAAUAUGAAGUAAAUGUUUUAGUCACGUGUCCAACUUA